CCUACGGGAGGCAGCAGUGGGGAAUUUUGCGCAAUGGGGGCAACCCUGACGCAGCAACGCCGCGUGAGUGAUGAAGGCCUUCGGGUCGUAAAGCUCUGUCAGAGGGGAAGAAAUGCAGGUGGCGAACAACCAUUCUGUUUGACGGUACCCUCAAAGGAAGCACCGGCUAACUCCGUGCCAGCAGCCGCGGUAAUACGGAGGGUGCGAGCGUUGUUCGGAAUUAUUGGGCGUAAAGCGCGUGUAGGCGGUUUGUUAAGGCGGAGGUGAAAGCCCCGGGCUCAACCGGGGAAGUGCAUUGGAUACUGGCAGACUUGAGUACGGGAGAGGAGAGUGGAAUUCCCAGUGUAGGAGUGAAAUCCGUAGAUAUUGGGAGGAACACCGUGGGCGAGGGCGGCUCCCUGGACCGGUUCUGACACUCAUGCGCGAAAGCGUGGGGAGCAAACAGGAUUAGAUACCCUGGUAGU
rnacentral:rRNA from 1 species